GAUGAACGCUGGCGGCGUGCCUAAUACAUGCAAGUCGAGCGAACGGACGAGAAGCUUGCUUCUCUGAUGUUAGCGGCGGACGGGUGAGUAGCACGUGGAUAACCUACCUAUAAGACUGGGAUAACUUCGGGAAACCGGAGCUAAUACCGGAUAAUAUUUUGAACCGCAUGGUUCAAAAGUGAAAGACGGUCUUGCUGUCACUUAUAGAUGGAUCCGCGCUGCAUUAGCUAGUUGGUAAGGUAACGGCUUACCAAGGCAACGAUGCAUAGCCGACCUGAGAGGGUGAUCGGCCACACUGGAACUGAGACACGGUCCAGACUCCUACGGGAGGCAGCAGUAGGGAAUCUUCCGCAAUGGGCGAAAGCCUGACGGAGCAACGCCGCGUGAGUGAUGAAGGUCUUCGGAUCGUAAAACUCUGUUAUUAGGGAAGAACAUAUGUGUAAGUAACUGUGCACAUCUUGACGGUACCUAAUCAGAAAGCCACGGCUAACUACGUGCCAGCAGCCGCGGUAAUACGUAGGUGGCAAGCGUUAUCCGGAAUUAUUGGGCGUAAAGCGCGCGUAGGCGGUUUUUUAAGUCUGAUGUGAAAGCCCACGGCUCAACCGUGGAGGGUCAUUGGAAACUGGAAAACUUGAGUGCAGAAGAGGAAAGUGGAAUUCCAUGUGUAGCGGUGAAAUGCGCAGAGAUAUGGAGGAACACCAGUGGCGAAGGCGACUUUCUGGUCUGUAACUGACGCUGAUGUGCGAAAGCGUGGGGAUCAAACAGGAUUAGAUACCCUGGUAGUCCACGCCGUAAACGAUGAGUGCUAAGUGUUAGGGGGUUUCCGCCCCUUAGUGCUGCAGCUAACGCAUUAAGCACUCCGCCUGGGGAGUACGACCGCAAGGUUGAAACUCAAAGGAAUUGACGGGGACCCGCACAAGCGGUGGAGCAUGUGGUUUAAUUCGAAGCAACGCGAAGAACCUUACCAAAUCUUGACAUCCUUUGACAACUCUAGAGAUAGAGCCUUCCCCUUCGGGGGACAAAGUGACAGGUGGUGCAUGGUUGUCGUCAGCUCGUGUCGUGAGAUGUUGGGUUAAGUCCCGCAACGAGCGCAACCCUUAAGCUUAGUUGCCAUCAUUAAGUUGGGCACUCUAAGUUGACUGCCGGUGACAAACCGGAGGAAGGUAGGGAUGACGUCAAAUCAUCAUGCCCCUUAUGAUUUGGGCUACACACGUGCUACAAUGGACAAUACAAAGGGCAGCGAAACCGCGAGGUCAAGCAAAUCCCAUAAAGUUGUUCUCAGUUCGGAUUGUAGUCUGCAACUCGACUACAUGAAGCUGGAAUCGCUAGUAAUCGUAGAUCAGCAUGCUACGGUGAAUACGUCCCCGGGUCU
rnacentral:rRNA from 1 species